rnacentral:lncRNA from 1 species
GUGGGAGUGAGGGCGGGUUGUUCUGUGUCACCCCCUCCUGCCCUCUUUUCUAGAGCAGUGAUCAAGGGGGUACAUACAUUGCUGGCUGCAGCAAAGAGCCUCCCCCCCUCGCUUCCUGCUAGGCCCCAGAGGUGGCCAUGGGGUAAAUGGUCCCCAGCAGUGUGAGCACCAGGGUUGCAGAUCAGGACCCACUUACCCUGCUCGUGCUGUGACCAGAGGCCUGAAGACCACCCUGGGUUCAGUGUGUGUAACUUCAAAGCAGCGACUUUGCCUUUUAUUGGAAGCCCCACGCAAAUCACAAGCCUCCAAGGCAUUUAUUAAGUGCCCGUGUCUCCUUCGUCUAUGUUGACACCUGACCAAAGAGUUACAUUUAAAAAUUUCACUGACUGACUUAUACCCUGCCCCAUUUCCAAAGCAGAUGACAAUACAACCCCAGGUACAAGUAAGGCCAGGAACAUUUACCCAAGACAAAGGAGGGAAACAAAGGCAGAGAAUUAUGCCCAGCCUCAGCCUUUCAGGAAGGUAAAAAUCUAAGGCUUCAUUCUCUGGAUGUCUUUAAACUUCGCCAAGAUGUAAGGGCUACUUUUAUUUCGUUCUGCAAAACUCCUCCACCCCCAUCAGAAAGGCAGUACCCCCUUGUGGCCAAGCUUUAGUCCCAUUUAGAGGAAUGUUGCAGGGUGGCUGGCCACUGCAGGGGGCCAGGCAGGCAGGGUGUCUGUCACCGGCCAGCGGUCCCUGCCCUUCUGGCCACCGCUGCCAAAAGCUUGGGUAGGUUUGUGUUUCCCAGCUGAGCCUCCACGCUGCCGAUGGCCUUCCAAGUUGUGCCCUGGCCUGGUUUGUGGUGCAUCCUCAUUUCACUAAUGGAAAUGAAGGUAACAGCAGUCUCCUCCCGCCUCCGUCCAGUUGUGGCCUUUCCUAAGAGGACAAACCUGCUGAAGGACACAGAGACCAUGUCACCCACAAGAGGUCCACACCAGAAGAGGAGAGAGCCCCAUUCUGCUAACUCCUUCCGAAAGCCUGGGACCCUGUGCACAGUAGCCUUUGGAAGACAGGCGAGCUGGCUCUACCUGUCUUGCAGAUUCAGAAUCUAGGUCAUUCUGCUCCCUCCCCUCCUCCUCUGGAAGACAAGCCAGAUUUCUCCUAGGGUCUCAGAAGGAGAGAGGGGACGGCAGGAGAAAAUGCUUUAGCGGGACCCACACCCUGCCUGCUGC